AAACUUUCAGCAACGGAUCUCUUGGUUCUGGCAUCGAUGAAGAACGCAGCGAAAUGCGAUAAGUAAUGUGAAUUGCAGAAUUCAGUGAAUCAUCGAAUCUUUGAACGCACAUUGCGCCCGCCAGUAUUCUGGCGGGCAUGCCUGUCUGAGCGUCAUUUCAACCCUCAGCCCCCGUCCGCGGGGCGCUGGCGUUGGGGAUCGGCCGUCCU
rnacentral:rRNA from 1 species